rnacentral:lncRNA from 1 species
GUAAGACUCUGGCGGUGCACUUCUUUUAAGAGAAGUGGGUACUGGCGCACGACUGGCAGAGGGUCAGCGUGCGGCCCGUAUAAGUGGCGCCCAACGUGGGGCCGAGGAAAUAGGCCAGAGGCCCCGUGGACCAGCUGGUCUGGUUGCGGGAAGAGAGACGAGACCCUUAGCCGAUAGGGCUAAGGAAGGAGGAUGGGACAGUUGUUUGGUAAGGUCCCGGAUCGGGAGGUGCAAGGGAAAGAAGUAUAUAAAAGAGUGAAAGAAGCAGAAAUUAGUAGUGAGGAAGAGUCUAGGAGUGAGACAGACUCAGGGAGUGAGACAGAGGUCACUGGAAACAGGAAAUGGGAAAAUAAUCAAGAGAAAAGAAAGCAAGGCCGAGCAGGAGGGCAGGAGCGGGAGAGCAGUAGCCGGGAGAGAGCAGGAAACCGUAGCAAGGAAAGCCACGUGGAGAGACGGCCCCCUCCCCCACACUUAACCGACGGAGGGAGGACCUGGGCCCCUUUAGAAUGGAAGAAGUUUAAGGAGUUAAAAGAGGCACUAAAUACAGCCUUUGCAGCUGUUUCCCAAUGUGCCCUUUGGGCUUUUAGUAAGAUUCAGGCUUUGGGGAAACAAAGGCCCUCCCUGACCAAGAUUAAAAAGGGUCCUGAUAAAAGCUUCCUGGAUUUCGUGGCCUGCCUCCAGGCAGCCGUUUGGAGAGGACUAUCAGAGGUGCUGAAAACAAAACAGACUAAAUUGUACUAUCUAUGCGGGAAAGCCAGUCAUUUUAAGGCACAAUGCAGCCAGAAAUCUGGUGGAGCCUGCCCUAAGGCAAUUUGUUACAAUUGUAACAAAUCCGGCCAUUAUGCUAAAGAAUGCUGCAAGCCAGUUGGGAGGUGGGGCAAGGAGAGCCCCUUAGCAAGCUUACCAGAUGGAAGCUCCACCCCCUCAGAAUGCGCCCUCGGGUCUGCAUCAGGAAAAUCUACUUUACCCGGUGGUUCGGACUUCCCCUUUACAGCAAGCGAAUUUUCCAAAUCGACCCCAGUGGUUGCUGGUUUGAGAUACAAUUUAUGGGGAAGAGAUAUUUUGAAGGCUUGUGGUGCAUCUGUUUAUAUACCACCCCCC